GUUUUAAUAGUUUAAAAUAAAACAAUGGUUUUGUAAACCAUAAAUAGAAGAUUUUCCUUUAAAACA
rnacentral:tRNA from 1 species